AGUGAACGCUGGCGGUAGGCCUAACACAUGCAAGUCGAACGGCAGCACAGUAAGAGCUUGCUCUUACGGGUGGCGAGUGGCGGACGGGUGAGGAAUACAUCGGAAUCUACUUUUUCGUGGGGGAUAACGUAGGGAAACUUACGCUAAUACCGCAUACGACCUACGGGUGAAAGCAGGGGAUCUUCGGACCUUGCGCGAUUGAAUGAGCCGAUGUCGGAUUAGCUAGUUGGCGGGGUAAAGGCCCACCAAGGCGACGAUCCGUAGCUGGUCUGAGAGGAUGAUCAGCCACACUGGAACUGAGCCACGGUCCAGACUCCUACGGGAGGCAGCAGUGGGGAAUAUUGGGCAAUGGGCGCAAGCCUGAUCCAGCCAUACCGCGUGGGUGAAGAAGGCCUUCGGGUUGUAAAGCCCUUUUGUUGGGAAAGAAAAGCAGCAGGUUAAUACCCCGCUGUUCUGACGGUACCCAAAGAAUAAGCACCGGCUAACUUCGUG
rnacentral:rRNA from 1 species